ACUCCUACGGGAGGCAGCAGUGGGGAAUAUUGCACAAUGGGCGCAAGCCUGAUGCAGCAACGCCGCGUGAGGGACGACGGCCUUCGGGUUGUAAACCUCUUUUAGUAGGGAAGAAGCGAAAGUGACGGUACCUGCAGAAAAAGCACCGGCUAACUACGUGCCAGCAGCCGCGGUAAUACGUAGGGUGCAAGCGUUAUCCGGAAUUAUUGGGCGUAAAGAGCUCGUAGGCGGUUUGUCGCGUCUGCUGUGAAAACUGGAGGCUCAACCUCCAGCCUGCAGUGGGUACGGGCAGACUAGAGUGCGGUAGGGGAGAUUGGAAUUCCUGGUGUAGCGGUGGAAUGCGCAGAUAUCAGGAGGAACACCGAUGGCGAAGGCAGAUCUCUGGGCCGUAACUGACGCUGAGGAGCGAAAGCAUGGGGAGCGAACAGGAUUAGAUACCCUGGUAGUCCAUGCCGUAAACGUUGGGGACUAGAUGUAGGGACCAUUCCACGGUUUCUGUGUCGCAGCUAACGCAUUAAGUUCCCCGCCUGGGGAGUACGGCCGCAAGGCUAAAACUCAAAGGAAUUGACGGGGGCCCGCACAAGCGGCGGAGCAUGCGGAUUAAUUCGAUGCAACGCGAAGAACCUUACCAAGGCUUGACAUAUACCGGAAAAGUUCAGAAAUGUUCUCCCCGCAAGGUCGGUAUACAGGUGGUGCAUGGUUGUCGUCAGCUCGUGUCGUGAGAUGUUGGGUUAAGUCCCGCAACGAGCGCAACCCUCGUUCUAUGUUGCCAGCACGUAAUGGUGGGAACUCAUAGGAGACUGCCGGGGUCAACUCGGA
rnacentral:rRNA from 1 species